rnacentral:rRNA from 1 species
GAAUAUUGGACAAUGGGCGAAAGCCUGAUCCAGCAAUGCCGCGUGUGUGAAGAAGGCCUUCGGGUUGUAAAGCACUUUCAGUGGGGAGGAAGGGUUCAAUGCUAAUAUCAUUGAACAUUGACGCUACCCACAGAAGAAGCCCCGGCUAACUCUGUUCCAGCAGCCGCGGUAAUACAGAGGGUGCAAGCGUUAAUCGGAAUUACUGGGCGUAAAGCGUGUGUAGGUGGUUAAGUAAGUUAGAUGUGAAAUCCCUGGGCUCAACCUAGGAGUUGCGUUUAAAACUGCUUAGCUAGAGUAUUGUAGAGGAUAGUGGAAUUUCCAGUGUAGCGGUGAAAUGCGUAGAUAUUGGAAGGAACGCCAGUGGCGAAGGCGGCUAUCUGGACAAAUACUGACACUGAGACACGAAAGCGUGGGGAGCAAACAGG